rnacentral:rRNA from 1 species
CAGCAGCCGCGGUAAUACGAAGGGUGCAAGCGUUAAUCGGAAUUACUGGGCGUAAAGCAUGCGUAGGCGGUGAGUUAAGUCUGCUGUGAAAUCCCCGGGCUCAACCUGGGAAUGGCAGUGGAUACUGGCAAGCUAGAGUGUGUCAGAGGAUGGUGGAAUUCCCGGUGUAGCGGUGAAAUGCGUAGAGAUCGGGAGGAACAUCAGUGGCGAAGGCGGCCAUCUGGGACAACACUGACGCUGAGGCACGAAAGCGUGGGGAGCAAACAGGAUUAGAUACCCCAGUAGUCCCUGUCUCUUAUAA